rfam:Oryza barthii chromosome 2, whole genome shotgun sequence.
AAUGUAUGACGCUGUUGACUUUUCGUCCAACGUUUGACCAUUCGUCUUAUUCAAAAAAUUUAUGUAAUUAUUAUUUAUUUUGUUGUGACUUAAUUCAUCAUCAAAUAUUCUUUAAGAAUGACAUAAAUAUUUUCAUAUUUUCACAGAAAAUUUAAAUAAAACGAAUGGUCAAACAUUGGUUAAAAAGUUAACGGCAUCAUACAUU